rnacentral:sRNA from 1 species
UCGUAGGUACCGCACAGUGC